ACGCCGAAUCGCGGUUCCGAGGAUUUAUCUCCGUUGCAACCACACAGCGGCCAUUUCCCGACUCAAGAACGCGAGGAAAACCAUAGAGGUGGAACAUCUGAACUAUUUCCUUUCUACAUUAUGGGGAAGUGAACUGCCAUGUCUUGAGAUAACGAGAGUUUGUGGAGAGAGAUGCCAUGAGUCUGUGGAGAGGUCAAUAUGACAAAGAACUGAAGCUUGCCAAGAGCCAUUUGAGUGAGCUUGGAAGUGGAUCUUUCCCCAGGCUGACUCAUGACUGAUGACUCCUGGGGAAAAAUCAAGACACAGGGUUUUCCAGGCACACCAUCAUAUCAUCCAAAAGCAGCUAAUACAUUUCUCGUGGAAAUUGUCAAGUUGAUUUGAACACUUAUAUGAAAAUGCAGUGAAUCUAGAAGAGCCAAAACAAAAAGAAAAACAUACUGCUGCCACCUGAUUUCAGAUUUCACUGUACACCUGAUUUCGGAUUUCAUUGUACACCUGAUUUCGGAUUUCACUGUACACCUGAUUUCGGAUUUCACUGUACACCUGAUUGUGGAUUUCACUGUACACCUGAUUGCGGAUUUCACUGUACACCUGAUUUCGGAUUUCACUAUGGUGUGAGGACAGACAGAUCAAUGAACAGAAUAAACAGCCUGGAGAUGACGCAGUCACCAAGACAAUUAAAUGGGGAAAAGAAAGUCUUUUUGAAUAAAUAGUGCUGAACAACUGGUUACACACA